rnacentral:rRNA from 1 species
GACGAACGCUGGCGGCGUGCUUAACACAUGCAAGUCGAACGGUGAAGCGCCUUCCUUUUUGGUGGGUGUGGAUGAGUGGCGAACGGGUGAGUAACACGUGAGUAACCUGCCCCCUUCUUCUGGAUAACCGCAUGAAAGUGUGGCUAAUACGGGAUAUUCUGGGUCUGUCGCAUGAUGGGUCUGGGAAAGAUAUUGUUUCGGUGGGGGAUGGGCUCGCGGCCUAUCAGCUUGUUGGUGGGGUGAUGGCCUACCAAGGCGGUGACGGGUAGCCGGCCUGAGAGGGUGGACGGUCACACUGGGACUGAGACACGGCCCAGACUCCGACGGGAGGCAGCAGUGGGGAAUAUGGCACAAUGGGCGCAAGCCUGAUGCAGCGACGCCGCGUGAGGGAUGGAGGCCUUCGGGUUGUGAACCUCUUUCGCCAGUGAAGCAGGCCUGCCUCGUUUGUGGGUGGGUUGACGGUAGCUGGAUAAGAAGCGCCGGCUAACUACGUG